GCGGGUAUGGCGAAAUUGGUAGACGCGCCAGACUUAGGAUCUGGUGCCGCAAGGCGUGGGGGUUCGAGUCCCUCUACCCGCA
rnacentral:tRNA from 1 species